rnacentral:rRNA from 1 species
UCAUUUAGUUGGGCACUCUAGUGAGACUGCCGGUGACAAACCGGAGGAAGGUGGGGAUGACGUCAAGUCCUCACUGGCCCUUAUGGGUAGGGCUUCACACGUCAUACAAUGGUCGGUACAGAGGGUUGCCAAGCCGCGAGGUGGAGCCAAUCCCUUAAAGCCGAUCGUAGUUCGGAUCGUAGUCUGCAACUCGACUACGUGAAGUCGGAAUCGCUAGUAAUCGCAGAUCAGCAUGCUGCGGUGAAUACGUUCCCGGGUCUU